rnacentral:rRNA from 1 species
CCUACGGGUGACAGCAGUGGGGAAUAUUGCACAAUGGGGGAAACCCUGAUGCAGCGACGCCGCGUGAGUGAAGAAGGCAUUCGUUAUGUAAAGCUCUAUCAGCAGGGAAGAAACAGACGGUACCUGAGUAAGCAGCACCUGCUAACUACGUGCCAGCAGCCGCGGUAAUACGGAGGGGGCAAGCGUUAUCCGGAUUUACUGGUGGUAAAGUGAGCGUAGACGGCGAAGAAAGUCUGAAGUGAAAGCCCGCGGCUUAACCGGGGAACUGCUUUCGAAACUUGUUUGCUGGAGUACCGGAGAGGUAAGCAGAAUUCCAGGUGUAGCGGUGAAAUGCGUAGAGAUUAGGAGGAACACCAGUGGCGAAGGCGGCUUCCUGGACGGUAACUGACGUUGAGGUUCGAAAGCGUGGGGAGCAAACAGGAUUAGAUACCCCAGUAGUC